rnacentral:pre_miRNA from 9 species
UCUCGAUAGCGUAAAAGUUAACGAAAAUUUGUAUGGAGUUGGACCGUUUGCGUACGUUUGCCGCUAGGGGCGCUGUUCCAACUGCCUAUAAAUUUCAAUUAACUUUAAAAAACUCGC